rnacentral:hammerhead_ribozyme from 1 species
AUCCAGCUGACGAGUCCCAAAUAGGACAAAAGGCGAAUCCUGGAU